UAAUUUUUUAUACGACCGCAAAAAUUGAAAAUUUUUUGGUCGUAUAUUGGUAUGACGUUGGCGUCGUCGUCGUCGUCGUCGUCGUCGUCUGGCGUCGUCCGGCGUCGUCCGAAGACACAUUGGUUUUCGCACUCUAACUUUAGUUUAAGUGAAUGGAUCUCCAUGAAAUUUUACCAUAAGGUUCAAUACCACGAAAGGAAGGUGGGGAUUGAUUUUGGGGGUUAUGGUACCAACAGUUAAGGAAUUAGGGGCCUAAAAGGGGCCAAAAAUAAGCAUUUUUGUAACUUCCAGACAAUAACUUGUGUGUAAGUGUAUGGAUCUCUCUGACAUUGUACCACAAGGUUCCAUAUCACAAAGGGAAGGCUGUAAUUGAUUUUGGGGGUAAUUGCCUCAAAAUUUUAGGAAUUAGGGGCUAAAAAAAGGGGCAAAAAACAAGCAUUUUUCUAGUUUCAUGACAAUAACUUGUGUGUAAGUGUUUGGAUAUUUCUGAAAUUGUACUACAAGGUUCCAUAUCACAAAGGGAAAGCUGGAAUUGAGUUUGGGGGUAAUUGCCCGAAACGUUUAGGAAUUGGGGGCCAAAAAGGGGCCAAAAAUAAGCAUUUUUCUAGUUUCCAGACAAUAACUUGUGUUCAAGUGUAUGGAUCUCUCUGAAAUUGUACUGCAAGGUACCAUACCACAAAGGAAAGGCUGGGAUUGAGUUUGGGGGUGAUGAAUCAUAAGGGGGUUCAAAAAAUUUGGGGGGGGGGAUUUUUUUUUUUCUUUUUUUUCUUUUUUUCCUUUUUUUUUUCUUUUAAAAUUUUCCAUUUUAAGUUGGUUAUUUCUGAUUAAUAUUUAAAAGCAAAUAAUAAUGAUAUGGUAGGAGAUACACACCAAACAGGAUGUGUAAAUUAUUAUAUAAUAAGUAUUGUGCAAUAGCAAGAAAUUUUCAAUUGCACAGUAUUGCACAAUUGCACAGUAUUGCGCAAUAGCAAGAAAUCUUCAAUUGCACAGUAUUGCGCAAUAGCAAGAAAUAUCCAAUAGCACAAUAUUGGGCAAUAGCAAGAAAUUGUCAAUUGUACAGUAUUGCACAAUAGCAAGAAAUAUUCAAUUGCACAGUAUUGUGCAAAAGAAGAUACUUCGUAUAAAUUGCUUAUUUCUUGAUCAAUUUCAAUGGGGUUUUAUUCUUGAAUUCUUGGGGUUCUUUAAUAUGCUGAAUCUAACCGUGUAUUAAGUUUUUGGAUUUUGGGUCCCGUUUUUAAAUUGGUCCCCAUUGAGGUCCAAAGGGUCCAAAAUUUAACUUUGUUUGAUUUCAUCAAAAAUUGAAUUAUUGGGGUUCUUUGAUAUGCCGAAUCUAACCGUGUAUUUAGAUUCUUAAUUUUUGGUUCCGUUUUCAAAUUGGUCUACAUUAAGGUCAAAAGGGUCCAAAAUUAAACUUAGUUUGAUUUUAACAAAAAUUGAAUUUUUAGGGUACUUUGAUAUGCUGAAUCUAAACAUGUAUUAAGAUUUUUGAUUAUGGGCCCAGUUUUCAAGUUGGUCCAAAUCGGGGUCCAAAAUUAAACUUUGUUUGAUUUCAACAAAAAUUGAAUAUAUGGGUUUCUUUGAUAUGCUGAAUCUAACCAUGUAUUUAGAUUUUUGAUUUUUGGGCCCCAUUAUCAACUUUGUCCACAUUGAGGUCAAAAGGGUCCAAAAUUAAACUUUGUUUGAUUUCAUCAAAAAUUGAAUUCUUGGGGUUCUUUGAUAUGCUGAAUCUAACCAUGUAUUUAGAUUUUUUAUUUGUGGACCCGCUAUCAAAUUGGUUCAUAUUGAGGUCAAAAGGGUCCAAAAUUUAACUUUGUUUGAUUUCAUCAAAAAUUGAAUUAUUGGGGUUCUUUGAUAUGCCAAAUCUAACCGUGUAUUUAGAUUUUUAAUUUUGGGUCCCGUUUUUAAAUUGGUCUACAUUAAGGUCCAAAGGGUCCAAAAUUAAACUUAGUUUGAUUUUAACAAAAAUUGAAUUCUUGGGGUUCUUUGAUAUGCUGAAUCUAAACAUGUGUUUAGAUUUUUGAUUAUGGGCCCAGUUUUCAAGAUGGUCCAAAUUGGGGUCCAAAAUUAAACUUUGUUUGAUUUCAACAAAAAUUGAAUAUAUGGGGUUCUUUGAUAUGCUGAAUCUAACCAUGUAUUUAGAUUUUAGAUUUUUGGCCCAGUUUUCAAGUUGGUCCAAAUUGGGGUCCAAAAUUAAACUUUGUUUGAUUUUAACAAAAAUUGAAUUUUUAGGGUACUUUGAUAUGCUGAAUCUAAACAUGUAUUUAGAUUUUUGAUUAUGGGCCCAGUUUUCAAGUUGGUCCAAAUCAGGGUCCAAUAUUAAACUUUGUUUGAUUUCAACAAAAAUUGAAUAUAUGGGGUUCUUUGAUAUGCUAAAUCUAACCAUGUAUUUAGAUUUUUGAUUUUUGGGCCCCGUUAUCAACUUUGUCCACAUUGAGGUCAAAAGGGUCCAAAAUUAAACUUUGUUUGAUUUCAUCAAAAAUUGAAUUUUUGGGGUUCUUUGAUAUGCCAAAUCUAACCGUGUUUUUAGAUUUUUAAUUUUGGGUCCCGUUUUUUAAAUUGGUCUACAUUAAGGUCCAAAGUGUCCAAAAUUAAACUUAGUUUGAUUUUAACAAAAAUUGAAUUCUUGGGGUACUUUGAUAUGCUGAAUCUAAACAUGUGUUUAGAUUUUUGAUUAUGGGACCAUUUUUCAAGUUUGUCCAAGUUGGGGUCCAAAAUUAAACUUUGUUUGAUUUCAACAAAAAUUGAAUAUAUGGGGUUCUUUGAUAUGCUGAAUCUAACCAUGUAUUUUGAUUUUGGACAUUGGACCAUAAUAGGUAAAUUAAAAAAAUUGAAGUUCUUAGACCACAUUCUUUCUGUGUCAGAAACCUAUGCUGUGUCAAAUAUUUAAUCACAAUCCAAAUUCAGAGCUGUAUCAAGCUUGAAUGUUGUGUCCAUACUUGCCCCAACUGUUCAGGGUUCGACCUCUGCGGUCGUAUCAAGCUGCGCCCAGCGAAGCAUUUUAUU